GGGGGGAUGAGGCUCAAACAAGGGCUUAAUUGUUACUAGCCAUGGACUGGUUACUUCUUGUAUUGGGUGAAAUCAGAUGUGUAUAGUUUGGAAAUGUCAUAUAGUGACUUCUAGAGCUCGCAUGGGAUUGCAUGCUACAACAUGUGAAUUAGCCCCUGUCUGAUUUAGCUUAAAAUAAGAUUUUUAAUAGAUUCCUAUUAUUGGGUGAAAUCAAAGGUAUAAUAGCUUUGAAAAUUCAUAUGUUGACUUCUAGCAUACGCAUUGGAUUGCAUGUUACUACAUACGAAUUAGUCCUCAUUUGGUUUAGCUGAAAAUUAGAUUUUAAUUGGAUUUUGAUAAAUUUUAUAAAUUUGAUAGAAAAGUAGAUAAAAAUUAUGGAUCCUAAUAAAUGUGUGAUGAAAAUUAAUCUUUGACUUUUUAACUUAAAUUUUUAUCAAUUUUUUAGCUAUACCUUUCCAAACAUGAGCUUAAUUUAUAUGUUAAAUGAUAAUAUAUAUGCAGAUAUCUAAUGUGUAGAUGUAUUCGCCAUAUACACAUUCAAAAUCACCGUGUAUGAAGCGUGUUAAAGAAAUGCAGUGUCUCUAUGAUUUUUUUGUGGAUAAAACUUUUGAUUACGAUUUAUAUUUGUUUUUCUUUUAAAUAUGUGCUUGUUUAUUGUUAAAAUUAAUAACUUAUUUUAUUUAUAAUUCUCGUAAACUAAAAGUUAUUUACUUUAUAAGUUUACAUUUCCAUGUUUACACAAGGAUGUUAAGAGGUAGGAAUAAGUGUACCUAGACUUCCCAAUUAGGUUGGCCAUCCUCAUCAUCUACCAAUUCAAACAUUUUUUUAAUAUUAACUUAUAACACUUUAACAAAGUUGUACUUGUGUUGAAAGUCGAAUUUCUCAAAUUUACUUGAUGAUCUCUCUUUUGAGAAAAAUUAAACCUACUUUAAAGCGUGAAACCACUACAUCACUAGGAAAGUCUUCAACAAGUUAGCCUCCGGGGCAUAACCCAGUGGUGCAAAGGACAGGAGUGAGAUAGUCUUGGUCUUGCUGGCAGUCGCAAUGUGAGGGUUCGAUUCCUAAGAUAUGGAAUUGAACACUUUGUGGGCACCAGUGUACGGGCAAGCUCUUGUUCCCUGUCCUGUUGGGGCACAUCCCACAAUUUACCUCCCUCAUGAUGCUUCAGGGGCGGAGCGAUGGAGGCCCUCAAGGUUGGGAUUCAACCUUUAAGUCUUCAACAAGUUAAAGUGCAUUAGGACUCGACGAAAUUCAAUUACAAGACCCACACAAAUAUGCGUCAGAUUUCAUGAGACCCUAUGGCAAGAAUAUAAGGGAUGUUAAAACUUGGGGUUCUAUCUUAAAAGGUCCGCCUUAUUAAGAGGAGUAGCACAGAAUCUUUUUUAAGUUGGUCAAUAUUUUGGUAUUUAAUCGAUGUUGGAUUUUUAUCCCUUAAUAAUAUGUUUCCGCAAAAUGGUGGCUCGUUUGAGCAGACCAAUCUUGAAAUUCGUGUGCUCAUUUUUAGAGUUUUAAUUGGAUCGAAUUGCUCGUUGAAACUUAAUGAGCUCUGAUAUCAUGUGAAGAUUUAGAGUUCCAUCUUAAAAGGUCAAUCUUAUUAAGAGGAGUAGCACAAGAUUUUUAUAAAUUGGUCAAUAUUUCAGUAUUUAGUCGAUGUGAAAUUUUUAUCCCUUAACAUGCCCCCACAAGAUGUUGGCUCGUUUGAAUAAACCAAUCUUGAAAUCUGUGUGCUCAUUUUUAGAGUCGUAUCGGGAUUGAGUUGCUCGUUGGAGUUUAAUGAGUUGAUACCAUGUUAAAAUUUGAGGUUCCAUCUUAAAAGGUCAAUCUGAUUAAGAGGAGUAGCCCAAGAUCUUUUUUAAGUUGGUCAAUAUUUCGAUAUUUAAUCGAUGUUGGAUUUUUAUCCCUUAAUAAGGGAAACCUAGAAUCAGCUAGAAUGAAGUUCUUGUUGAUCUUUUACAAGGAUCUUUUGCUUCAUCCAGGACCCAUAACUAAAUUGAGCCUCGUUAUUCCGAAACUUAAAAAUUGUUCAGAAAUUGACUACUUGAUACAUAUCUUAUGGAAGAACAGUGUUGAAGAAUUCACCUUUAAAAUAAAGAGUGGAGAACAGUACACAUCGCCUUCUUCACCAUUUAUGUGUAUACAGUUGAAACAUUUGAAGCCGUUGUCUUGGUUGAUCAAUCCUCCACCACCAAGCUUUGAAGGAUUUAAUAGACCAAUUAGGCUGGAAUUGUUUGACGUGACCAUUGAUGCUGAUGUAUUAGGAAUUUAGGAAGUUUGAUAUCAAGCUGCCCGGUACUGGGGAAACUAUUGCUGAAUGUUUCAAACAAAUUUGACUACGUAGAAAUAGAUACUCUAUGCUAAAACACUUUGAAUUGACAUGUUUCCCUAUAUCAUCGUUUUAUUUUAAGAAAUCCCCACAUCUUGCAAUGAUUUUGGUUGCUUUACAUAAUGAUUGGGUAGUUGACAAUAUUUUGGAAGAUGGGCAAUGUAACUUCAUUCAGUUUUUUGAUUCUCUGCCUGGCCUUCAGAAAGUGUACUUGAGCUAUACUUUCAUUAAGGUAUUUUUUAUUAUAAAUAUAAUCCCUUGAAAUCGUCGACUAAACUAUAUUAGAUCAUGCUUUCACCACCGCUUUGAAGAUUUUGGCUGCAGGUCAAGCCCAAGAAAGGCUAUCAGCUACUUUAAUGCACCUUAAAGUUCUGAAGUUAUUUUAUAUAUGUUCUAAUUUAUUGGAUGAACUCUCUUGUGUUCUGUGCUUGAUCAGAAGCUCCCCCGACCUUGAGGAACUGAGAUUCAAGAUUUGUGAGAGUGCAAAUGCUGAUGCUAGUCCUAUUCUAGAUUUUCUGCACAGUUGCUGAGAUGGCAGUGACUAAGCUUUUACUAGAAAAAUCGUCUAAGCUGAAGAGAAUGGUGAUCUGGUCAAUGGCCAACGCUAACGCUGACAAAGGACUUUAGAUUCUGAAACAGUUGAACAAGUUUUGGCUUGCAUCUCCUAUUGCAAAGGUCGAUUACGUAGAUUCUGAAGAUGAAGAUGAAGAUGAAGAUGAAGUGGAAGACGAGGGCAAAGAUGAAGAUGAAGACGAAUCCUGAUCCUCUGUCUAGCUAGGAGGUAGGAGGUCAGGAGUACUUCAAUCUUGCAACACGGGCUUUUUGAAAAUGAACUAAAGGUCGACAAAUGUGAUAGAGCCUGUAGUUAUUUUGAUGAAUACAAAGGAACUUUAUUCAAAUUUGACAUCUCGAAAAUCUUUUCAAAGAAUGGUGUGUUCAAGAAUUCAGAUGCUUACAUGAUCUUAGUCUAGUUUUGUCACUUGGAUAUCGAUGACAUGGCAGUAAAAAAUGAUGCUCGUCAUUUAUUUCAAUGAAAUUAUCCUUAUUUUGCGUCA